ensembl:lncRNA
CGGAAUGCCUGUUGCUUCUCUCUCUGCCCUCCGCCAUGUGAGGACACAACAAGAAGUCAGCAGUCUGCAAUCCAGAAGAAGACCCUCUCCAGAACCUGACCAUAGGGGUACCCUGCUGUUCUAGCCUCAGAAUUGUGAGAGAAUAAUUCCCAUUGUUUAUAAGCCACCCAGUCGAUGGCAUUUUGUUAUAGCAGCUUGAACCGACUAAGACAAAUAGGAAGAAUGAAACACACCUCCCCCUGAAAAGUCCACAUCGUAAUUCCAGGGAACUCUGAAUACAUUACCUUACAUGGCGGAAGGGACUUGGCAAACGUGAUGAAGGACUUUGAGACUGAGAUAUCAUUGGGAUUAUCCAGUUUCCUGAGUCUUAAGAAAACUAUUGGACGAACAGGAAUCAGAGAGUGAAGUCUGGGUACCAGAGUGAGCAGCGUGGCCGACACCCCCAGCUCCCUUUCCAGAUGAAAGCUGAACAGAGCCUAUUUCUAUGGGGGGUGCAGAGCUAUCUCUUAAGAGAACGCAGAUGGCAGCGGACACACUUUGAGACUAUGAACUGAACAUGUUGGGAAAGCAAUUAUAAAGUGUUUUAAGUAGAUGGCAUAAAUGGAGAGGUGAAGUUGCAAUCCCUUCUGUGGUAUAUUAAACAGUGAAGUGAAAAAGCUUUGGAACAGCAAACUAAACUCAUCUGGAAAAUUGGGUUUGGAAGGAGAUGGGCUUGAGCAUUUGGACUCCUGUCAGCUAUGUAAACACCCCGUUAUCUGGCUGGUUACCUCUGUGGUUCUGUACACCCCACACAGUCUCGAUAUACCUGCCUGAAGGCACAGCACAAUCUGGAAGAGCCACCCGUGGGAGAGGAACUCCUGGGUAGUCUCCGUGAUUGCCGUCUCCAUGCUGGCGAACUAUGAAGCUGUUGGUUUUGGGGUUGCAGUGACCAUGUUUGGUAGGAAUCCAGCCCUGACAAGCAUGGUUUUCCAAAGGAAUGAGGGCUUGGUUGACAUCCCCAACUGAAAGGCAGGAUGCAAAAAAGAUGGUCUGCUGGCUGAAUAAUCAUUUUGUUUUCUCUUCAGAUCCCCCGAUUAUGUUAAUUUGGGAACUGUAUCUAUUAAUUGCCCAAUUAGACAUCUGGUGAUCACUGUCUAUAGAAAUAUCCCCAAUCAUAGUGGCAAGGGCUGGGUGUACUAUUUUAUUGUAUCACAAAUAAAAAUCUAAUUUAGAUUUAAUAAAAACUAAUUCCAG